rnacentral:rRNA from 1 species
AAUAUUGGACAAUGGGGGGAACCCUGAUCCAGCCAUGCCGCGCGUGUGAAGAAGGUCUUCGGAUUGUAAAGCACUUUAAGUGGGGAGGAAGAGUUGUAGGCUAAUACUUUGCAAUUUUGACGUUACCAACAGAAUAAGCACCGGUUAACCUCGGGUCAGCAGCCGCCGUAAUACGAAGGGUGCAAGCGUUAAUCGGAAUUACUGGGCGUAAAGCGCGCGUAGGUGGUUCGUUAAGUUGGAAGUGAAAGCCCCGGGCUUAACCUGGGAAUUGCUUUCAAAACUGACGAGCUAGAGUACGGUAGAGGGUAGUGGAAUUUCCUGUGUAGCGGUGAAAUGCGUAGAUAUAGGAAGGAACAUCAGUGGCGAAGGCGACUACCUGGACUGAUACUGACACUGAGGUGCGAAAGCGUGGGGAGCAAACAGG